AGAGUUUGAUCAUGGCUCAGGACGAACGCUGGCGGCGCGCCUAACACAUGCAAGUCGAACGAGAGAGGAAGAGCUUGCUUUUCCGAUCGAGUGGCGAACGGGUGAGUAACGCGUGAGGAACCUGCCUCAAAGAGGGGGACAACAGUUGGAAACGACUGCUAAUACCGCAUAAUGCAUUUUGACCGCAUGAUCGAGAUGCCAAAGAUUUAUUGCUGAAAGAUGGGCUCGCGUCUGAUUAGAUAGUUGGUGAGGUAACGGCCCACCAAGUCGACGAUCAGUAGCCGGACUGAGAGGUUGAACGGCCACAUUGGGACUGAGAUACGGCCCAGACUCCUACGGGAGGCAGCA
rnacentral:rRNA from 1 species